CAAACAUUUCUGCCAUCAACCAAAAUUUAAAGUAAAAUGAAGUUGUUCACUGUUUUGAUGAUUUUUGCACUUGUGGCUUGUGUGUGUAAUGCAACUUCACUUGCGCCAGUUGAAGAAUAUGUCGAACAUCCUGAAAAUGACUUAAUUGAAUCGGUCGAAAGCACCAUAUCAUCGCGUGCUGGUUGCACCGAUCAUUUCUGUUCCAACUUAUGCGCAAGAUUGGGUUUCCGUUGGUACAGAUGUUUAAAUGCUAAUGUUUGCCAAUGUCGUCGAUAGACGAUUGGUGAACUAAACUGGUGGUCCUUUAAAUAAAAUGAUUCGAUUUUCUACUUUUUAUUUGUAAUCUUGUUACAUAUUAUUACAAAUUAUAAAAUGUCA